CAUCCUGGGGCUGAAGCAGGUCCCAAGGGUAUGGCUGUUCGCCAUUUAAAGAGGUACGCGAGCUGGGUUUAGAACGUCGUGAGACAGUUCGGUCCCUAUCUACCGUGGGCGUUGGAAAUUUGAGAGGAUCUGCUCCUAGUACGAGAGGACCAGAGUGGACGAACCUCUGGUGUACCGGUUGUCACGCCAGUGGCAUCGCCGGGUAGCUAUGUUCGGAAGGGAUAACCGCUGAAAGCAUCUAAGCGGGAAGCCUACCUCAAGAUAAGAUUUCCCCGAGACUUUAUGUCUCCUAAAGAGCCGUUGAAGACUACGACGUUGAUAGGUUGGAUGUGGAAGCAUAGUGAUAUGUGAAGCUGACCAAUACUAAUUGCUCGUGAGGCUUGACUAUACAACACCCAAGCAGUUG
rnacentral:rRNA from 1 species